UCCCAGCACGCGACAUGCGAGGAGGCGGGCAGCCCAGGAGGGUUGGACACGGCAAUGUGGACCUCGCCGCUUCCACAACGAUGCUGGCUACUGAUCGCGUGCACUUCCUUGCCAUGGAAAGCCAGUACUUGGAGAGACCAGGAAGCCAAGAGUUUCCUCAAAGAAUGGGGAUUCCUUGGAAGCGAGAUUCAUUUUUAGUCAAGAAAGACGAAUCACACGCAGUCAAAAGCAAUUGCCCAGGAUCUCAAGAACAGAGCCAGAAAGAAGACCUGGGGCUGGUGGGAUUGUGGGGGUCCUCUCUCCCACUUGAAAAGCUACUGCUGCCUGCUGACCCUCUCAAGAAAAGACCUCUCUGGGCUCCAGCACCUAAAACAGGCAAAACUGGGAGAAUGCUUCUCUCUUCUGUGUCACACAUGUCCUAGAGAAAACCUGUAUAUCUGAAUGACCAAAGAAAAUGAUGAGAAAAAAUGCAAAAUCUGUGCCAGGUCAUUCAGUGUCUGGUUGGGGCUCUGGGAUGUACGUACAUUCCAAGAAGACUGAAGGGUGCUGAGCCUGCAGGAAAUGUCCGUCAAACCUGCAUCUCACACGUGGAGUAUGACUGCCCAUCUGGGUUCAUGAUGCAGAACUGUCUUUAAAAGGCGACUGCAGAUAUGGAGAGAGGGAUUUCUAACCCUGAUAGAACAUGACCAGCUGUCCUGCUGGGGAAAGCCGCAUCCACCAGUGACAUGCUGCCUAACCUGGCCCAGACCACACUCUACUACCUAAGGAAUAAGCCCCACAUUUGCUCUUUUUGGGUAAAGGGAGAGUGUGAGAGAGGAGAGGAGUGUCCGCACAGACAUGAGAAGCCUGCAGAUCCAGAUGACCUCCCUUGCUGAUCAGCAUAUUAAAGAUUGAUGUAUGGAAACAAUGAUCCCGUAGCAGAUAAGCUUCCACAGCAGGCUUCAACCAUGCAUCAUCUGGACCCACUGGCAGAGAAGUCUGCCCGCCAUCUAUGUUGAUGGUCUGGGGGAUACAAUUACUGAGACAGAUUUGAGAAAUGAUCUCUACCUGUUGGCGAGAUCCGGAUGGUCACUGUUGUGCAGAGACAGCAGUGUGCUCUCAUCAGCUUUCCACGGGGCAGGCUGCGGAAAUAUACAUUGUACAUUGAUUGUCAUGGCUGCAGACUCACCGUCAAAUGGGGGAAGAUUCCAAGCCUUCAAGGAAACCUUGAAGAGUGGUCGUGGGGUACCCUCAUUCACUGCUGUGCUUUCUCACUGUUCCUAGGUUUAUUUCAGUUGUUAAGCAUUCAUAGCCAUUUGUCUGUGCAUCUCAUGCCCUAAUGUUUUUGCUGUAGAUAAGUGAUGGAAUGAGCUGAGCUGCCAGGCUUCCUGAAGUGAUUCUUGGAUGCUGGAUCAUGUGCUUAGGGGCCCCAAUGGGACUGAACUGGAAGGAGCGAGAAGAGGACAGAACCCAACCCCUGAUGAGUGGGCACUGGUAGUCUGGCCUCAUGACCACAGCACACACUAUUCCCAGGGCACAGACACCCUGGGCUUUGGUUGGGUCUUGGCCUCCAGGUAGGGCCUGGUGGGCAGCAGGCAGCGACUCCUGAGACACUACUGUGAUUCUCGGUGGUGGCUGUGGUAAAACACCUGUAGGGCUGGAGUUUAGUGUGAGAUCCAGCAGGAGCUGUGGCUCUCCCAGUGACGGUGUGUCACUCCCACUCACCAGCACCCAUGCCCACAGGCCACGGCCUCUGCCUAACCAAACCCCUGCCAAGUCACCCAUCCAUGGAGCAGCUCCCAUGCAGCAAAGUCAGGCUCUUACCUCCACCUCCAGGGCACAGACAGGGGCAGCUCUGUCUCACUGUAAGGCAAUGAGGAGAGCUGAGGACUCGGACCAGGCUGGGGGCCAUCCCGUUUCCCAAGCAGGCCUCAGUGAAGGACCAGUCCCAUCCUCAUCCAACCCAGGUCUCAGCCCAGGAGCCUGCAUAGGGAAUAAAGGACAGACAGAGCCUCCAUGCUGGCUGACACUCAGGAGGGGCCGGGGCAAGAGAGCAGAGGGAGCGCAGGGCCAGGCAGGGGCUGCUGAGGAUCCAUGGGGGCUCAGGCUGCACAAUGGGGCUGCCCCUCCUGGGCUGCAGGCAGCAUCCGCUAUGGGAGCUGAGAAAGUCCAGUCCUGAGAUGGGACAGUGCUGCCCAGGGGUGUGUGGCUGGGCCCUGACAACAGUCUCCCCAAAAGUGACCACAUCACCAGGCUCAGUUCCAGGAAGGCUGAGAAGUGCCCAGUACACCGAGGAUGCACCUGGAGCCCAUCCUGUCUUAAUAGACUCUGACUGUCCCGUGUCCACCUGCCUCUCCUGCAUAUCGGCCACCAUGCCUUCCCUUUUCCUCAUUUCUCCAUCGUGUCUGACCCAGAGGCUGUGACCCUCUCUCCAGCCACAGUGGCCCUUCUUUUACCCUUGUCCUGUCAGAGCUCGUAAGCAAGACUCCCCAGAUCCAUCCACAGGCCUGCCUGGUCCAAUUACUCAUUGCUUUGCUGUGCACUGCUGGGGUGGCACGACAGGCAGUGAGGGUGACUGAGGGCCCCACAGGUGGCCAGCCUGGCCCUUUACCCCAUCACUAGCCUCAGGGGCUUCUCAGGGCUGUCAGCCAGCAGCCUUGGCUUCGGGCACCUGGCUGUCCUCCUCCCUCUGUUCUUUUCUGACAGCCUCGCCCACGUGUCCUCUGUCCAUGGUGCUGACCAAGCCAGCAGGGAGCAGGUUCCCAGAGGGUGCUGCUGAGCUUUGGGGACCAACCCAGACUCCUCUGCUGAGGGCAUCCCAGGUGAGUCGCUGCCCCUGGUUCUAUGUCAUCUGCUGUCCUCUUCACUACCAUCCUCCCCCACCCCCGGCCGACUCCAUGCAGAUGCAUCCCCGAGUCACCAGUCUCAGGGUCCUCUGUUGUAGGAUGGAGAUUACUGUACCUGCUGUACACAUUCAUAUUUAUUGUGUGAAAUAUAGAAUCUAAAGUAAAUGAGGACUUUGAUUUGCAUUUUCCUGAUGACUACUGAUGUUAAGCACUUGAUAGCCAUUUUUAUAUCUUUUUUAAAAGAUAAAUGUCUAUUCAGGUUCUUUCCUUGUUUUUAAAUUAGGUUGUUAGAUUUUGGUGAGUUUUCUCUCUCUUUCUUUUCUAUUCAGUUGUCUGGGCUUCUUAUGUAUUUUGAUAUUACCCCUUAUGAGAGAUAUUGUUAGCAAAUAUUUUCUCCGAGUUCAUAAGCUGCUUUUAAAUUUCAUUGAUUGAUUUCUCCUGUACAGAAGAUUUAGGGUUAGAUGUACUCUUACUUGUAUUUUUGUUUUUUUGUUGCUUGUGUUUUUAAUGUCCUAUUUAAUAAAUUAUUAUCUGAACCAAUGUCAAGGA